rnacentral:lncRNA from 7 species
CGGUCAUGGACCGAUCUAGCUAAAGCGGUAUUAUUCUUGGAAUCUUGUCUGUCUAACUGGGAUUGGACGACCAAGGUCAUAUCCCCUUACCCCAGCCUAAGCCGCGGUGGUGCACAUGCAUCCCAUGGCGGUGCGCGCCGGUGAGCAGGCGAACUGCCCACCCCGGUGCCCGAUUUUGAACGAGGAUGGGUCCUACGCAUGGAGGCGACCUAAGUGAAUGUAGCAGAGGUCUACUUACCACGAAUUACAGAGAUAGUUCUUCCCAUGGUGUGGUGCGGUACAUUGGUGGGUUUGACAUUCUGGCGAGCAAUCUUGGUGACUCCAAGGGGCUUCACUCACGGGUAAAAUCUCCGUCAAACUCCACAGAUCCCGGAGAAGCGCCUGGAUGAAUCGUUCGAGGCGACGUUCUCGCGGGUCAUCAACGACGACCGCUCUUCUAUUUUAACAAACAGUUGAUGUUUUCUUUUCUGGAUUUUAGAUUAAAUUCCAGGCUUAACAGUUUUAAGAUUUAUAUCUCUAACAUGUUUUAGUACUGCCAUCUACUUAUUUUAGGAGAAGAUAUCUCCAAAUUAUAGGAAUUCUGAUUAACAGAUAUCCUAGUUAAAAAUCUUUAGAAAAUUAUAUUAUAUUGCCAAAAUGAUAUUUUGUGGCAUUAUAAAUUCUAUCCCCCUUAAAAA